UUGCUACCCCACUCUUGAAACCACAGCUGUUGGCAGGGUCCCCAGCUCAUGCCAGCCUCAUCUCCUUUCUUGCUAGCCCCCAAAGGGCCUCCAGGCAACAUGGGGGGCCCAGUCAGAGAGCCGGCACUCUCAGUUGCCCUCUGGUUGAGUUGGGGGGCAGCUCUGGGGGCCGUGGCUUGUGCCAUGGCUCUGCUGACCCAACAAACAGAGCUGCAGAGCCUCAGGAGAGAGGUGAGCCGGCUGCAGGGGACAGGAGGCCCCUCCCAGAAUGGGGAAGGGUAUCCCUGGCAGAGUCUCCCGGAGCAGAGUUCCGAUGCCCUGGAAGCCUGGGAGAAUGGGGAGAGAUCCCGGAAAAGGAGAGCAGUGCUCACCCAAAAACAGAAGACAGCACUCUGUCCUGCACCUGGUUCCCAUUAACGCCACCUCCAAGGAUGACUCCGAUGUGACAGAGGUGAUGUGGCAACCAGCUCUUAGGCGUGGGAGAGGCCUACAGGCCCAAGGAUAUGGUGUCCGAAUCCAGGAUGCUGGAGUUUAUCUGCUGUAUAGCCAGGUCCUGUUUCAAGACGUGACUUUCACCAUGGGUCAGGUGGUGUCUCGAGAAGGCCAAGGAAGGCAGGAGACUCUAUUCCGAUGUAUAAGAAGUAUGCCCUCCCACCCGGACCGGGCCUACAACAGCUGCUAUAGCGCAGGUGUCUUCCAUUUACACCAAGGGGAUAUUCUGAGUGUCAUAAUUCCCCGGGCAAGGGCGAAACUUAACCUCUCUCCACAUGGAACCUUCCUGGGGUUUGUGAAACUGUGAUUGUGUUAUAAAAAGUGGCUCCCAGCUUGGAAGACCAGGGUGGGUACAUACUGGAGACAGCCAAGAGCUGAGUAUAUAAAGGAGAGGGAAUGUGCAGGAACAGAGGCGUCUUCCUGGGUUUGGCUCCCCGUUCCUCACUUUUCCCUUUUCAUUCCCACCCCCUAGACUUUGAUUUUACGGAUAUCUUGCUUCUGUUCCCCAUGGAGCUCCGAAUUCUUGCGUGUGUGUAGAUGAGGGGCGGGGGACGGGCGCCAGGCAUUGUCCAGACCUGGUCGGGGCCCACUGGAAGCAUCCAGAACAGCACCACCAUCUAGCGGCCGCUCGAGGGAAGCACCCGCCGGUUGGCCGAAGUCCACGAAGCCGCCCUCUGCUAGGGAAAACCCCUGGUUCUCCAUGCCACACCUCUCUCCAGGUGCCCUCUGCCUCUUCACCCCACAAGAAGCCUUAUCCUACGUCCUUCUCUCCAUCUAUCGGACCCCAGUUUCCAUCACUAUCUCCAGAGAUGUAGCUAUUAUGCGCCCGUCUACAGGGGGUGCCCGACGAUGACGGUGCCUUCGCAGUCAAAUUACUCUUCGGGUCCCAAGGUUUGGCUUUCACGCGCUCCAUUGCCCCGGCGUGGCAGGCCAUUCCAAGCCCUUCCGGGCUGGAACUGGUGUCGGAGGAGCCUCGGGUGUAUCGUACGCCCUGGUGUUGGUGUUGCCUCACUCCUCUGAGCUCUUCUUUCUGAUCAAGCCCUGCUUAAAGUUAAAUAAAAUAGAAUGAAUG
rnacentral:lncRNA from 1 species